rnacentral:rRNA from 1 species
UACGUAGGCAGCGAGCGUUGUUCGGAGUUACUGGGCGUAAAGAGUGCGUAGGCGGUUUUCUAAGUUUGGUGUGAAAUCUCCCGGCUCAACUGGGAGGGUGCGCCGAAGACUGGAAGGCUUGAGUAUGGGAGAGGUAAGCGGAAUUCCUGGUGUAGCGGUGAAAUGCGUAGAUAUCGGGAGGAACACCAGUGGCGAAGGCGACUUCCUGGCCUGUUCUUGACGCUGAGGCGCGAAAGCUAGGGUAGCAAACGGG